GUUCCCUGACGCCAGCAGCCGUCUGCCAACACCGCACGAACUCCUCGAUUGCGUGGCCCGUUCGGACGGACGGACGGACGCAGGCGAGGCGACAUGGAAAGCGGGGCUUUGCUCGGUGGCAGUUUGCUCGGACAGCAGCAAGCGGGUGCUCUGUAAAGGCACCCCCUCCUGCAGUGGGCAUGCAACUCUGCACAGACCAUUGUAGUCACGGUGCUUGCUCUGCUGGGUCAUCCCAGGUACUGCACACACGGCCCAAACGCCUGGGGUGCGUCGUGUGGAACUGCAGGAAGGGGCCGUCACGCAGCAGGCUCCUUUCUCUGUGUACAGCAGCACCUUGGGGCUGUUGCAGCAUUGAAACACCCCAGAGGGUCGCGGGGAACCGCAGCCAACCCGGCAACACAGG